rnacentral:rRNA from 1 species
GACGUAGGGCGCGAGCGUUGUCCGGAUUUAUUGGGCGUAAAGAGCUCGUAGGCGGCUUGUCGCGUCGAAUGUGAAAUCUCAGGGCUCAACUCUGACAUUGCAUUCGAUACGGGCAGGCUAGAGUUCGGUAGGGGAGACUGGAAUUCCUGGUGUAGCGGUGAAAUGCGCAGAUAUCAGGAGGAACACCGAUGGCGAAGGCAGGUCUCUGGGCCGAUACUGACGCUGAGGCGCGAAGGCCAGGGGAGCAAACGGG